CGGCGAGUGAAGCGGGAAGAGCUCAAAUUUGUAAUCUGGCGGCCUUUGGCCGUCCGAGUUGUAGUCUCGAGAAGCGUUUUCUGCGCCGGACCGUGUACAAGUCCCUUGGAACAGGGCGUCGCAGAGGGUGAGAAUCCCGUCUUUGACACGGACUGCCGGUGCUUUGUGAUGCGCUCUCAAAGAGUCGAGUUGUUUGGGAAUGCAGCUCAAAACGGGUGGUAAAUUCCAUCUAAAGCUAAAUAUUGGCGAAAGACCGAUAGCGAACAAGUACCGUGAGGGAAAGAUGAAAAGCACUUUGGAAAGAGAGUUAAACAGUACGUGAAAUUGCUGAAAGGGAAACGCUUGAAGUCAGUCGCGUCUCCCGGGACUCAGCCGUGCCCCCAUCCGGCGCGGUGUACUUCCUGGGUAUGACGGGCCAGCAUCGAUUUCGGCCGUCGGAGAAAGGCUUGGGGAAUGUGGCACCUUCGGGUGUGUUAUAGCCCUGGGUCGCAUGCGACGGCUGGGAUCGAGGACCGCAGCACGUUCUCCCUUUUCGAAGGGGGGCUCGGGGUUCGCCCACGCAAACGUCGCUUAGGAUGCUUGGCGUAAUGGCUUUAAGCGACCCGUCUUGAAACACGGACCAAGGAGUCCAACAUGCCUGCGAGUGUUUGGGUGGAAAACCCGGACGCGCAA
rnacentral:rRNA from 1 species